CCUACGGGAGGCUGCAGUGAGGAAUAUUGGUCAAUGGGCGCGAGCCUGAACCAGCCAAGUCGCGUGAGGGAAGACGGCCCUACGGGUUGUAAACCUCUUUUGCCGGGGAGCAACGGGCGCCACGUGUGGCGCCACGGAGAGUACCCGGAGAAAAAGCAUCGGCUAACUCCGGGCAAGCAGCCGCGGUAAUACGGAGGAUGCGAGCGUUCUCCGGAUUUAUUGGGUUUAAAGGGAGCGUAGGUGGAUUGUUAAGUCAGUUGUGAAAGUUUGCGGCUCAACCGUAAAAUUGCAGUUGAAACUGGCAGUCUUGAGUACAGUAGAGGUGGGCGGAAUUCGUGGUGUAGCGGUGAAAUGCUUAGAUAUCACGAAGAACUCCGAUUGCGAAGGCAGUUCACUGGACUGCAACUGACACUGAGGCUCGAAAGUGUGGGUAUCAAACAGGAUUAGAUACCCUUGUAGUC
rnacentral:rRNA from 1 species